UCCAUUUCCCUACAGAUCUGCCUCCCAGGACAAUCCUGAGGAGAUACUCUCAUUUUAAUUCUGAGGUGAACACUCCUCACGUGUCUGAAGACUGACACAGACAGAACUGUAAAGGAAGAAGGAGAUCUUAGAGACAGUCCCACUGCUGUACACACAAGGAACGUGCGGUCCUCUGCUUGAGGCUGACAGGACCAGUCAGAAUCACCAGUUAAAAACCCCUGGGAACCAGAUCUCAACUCAAGGAAGCUUUAUUCUGGAUUAAGAUUUCUCAGCCGGUAGCAAGAAAAAAAUGUGAAAUUGCUUUUAACAAAGUCCUGAGAGUUGAUUUGGAACAAGAAGAAUUGGACUUGAACCGUUAUGCUACAAUUUCACAGCCGGGUAACACUGGGUAUAAAGCAUUGUUGGAGGAAGUCAUUGAGAAAACUGCGAGGUGACCUGCAAACUGGACCUGGGGACUAGAAGGUGCCUCAUCCCCUCUCCUGUCAUUGCCCCCACAUUCUACAUUCUACCACCAUUGCCAUGUGGAGCUGUUCCAAGGAUGUAGCCUUGAGAGAGUAAGAUGUUGUUGAGAUCUCUAUGUGGUAUAUAUGUCUGAGCCCAGUUAAGGCCUCUCUAUAAACUUUUAAGAUUCUGGCUGGUGGAUAUCGAGAUCUGUUCAUCUAGCAACUGCCCAAGACAAGCCUCUUAAAUGAUGUCCCUGACUCACAGAUGGUGCCUGUGGCCUCUUCUGCGAUUGGAGAUGAGGGCUGUGUGUUCACAGUGAUAGCCAGAGCCUCCACUUGCUUCCUGUGGUCUAUCUCCAUGAAUUAGAGAAAAUUAAGAAGAAAAGAUUAAUUGAUUACAGAAAAUCAUCCCAAGACGAUGCUCAUUCUAACUGGUACAAAAGAGAGAAGCUAACCAUGUUCUGAGGCAGAAACAAACCUGAGAGUGAAGGGGGAACAAACCUGCAGCUCUUAAAUAAGUCAAAGAAAAGAUUGUGAAGACUCCCACAACAAUAUAGAACAGCAACAAAAAUAACAGGGUUUGCCAUGGGUUGGUUUUGAUGGACUGAUUUCUUUCCUCUUUUUUGGCCAUAUUUCCCUACUCCUUUAUAUGUCUGGCGAAUCAGAUGAGAUGCUGAAAAUCAAGGGAUAGGAUCAGCAUCCUUGACACUUUUGGAACAGAAGUUUAGAAACAGAGAUCUGCCAAGGUUGACGUGAGCCUAGAACAGAGUAGGCAUACGACUAUGAAGCCACAUGCAAGAGCAAAAAGGAAGCAUGUCAAGGGUCAUGGAGCAGAAGACUAGGGACAACUGGGUCCCUAAAGACAGCUGAGCUUCUGCAAACCUUACUGCCAGGCAUAUCACGUGUGGAGAAGAAACUCUUAUUUCUUUAAACUGUGAGUUGCAUUUUCUGUUAUUUGCAGACAAAAAGAUUUCUGUGUGCCAUUUCCUCUCCUUUACAUCUAAUCCUCAAAUUCUGUCACUUUUGCUACCUCACGAAUUCAGUAUUGCUCUUUAUCUGCAUGAUAAUGCUUCAGUUCAAGCUACCACUAUUAUUUGUUUCAGUUUCUUACAGAGCUUCCUGGUAUCCCCACAGGUAAUCUCACACACUGCCCGAUACACACUCACAUCACCAGUGUUUCUUGAUUAUUUCCAGUAGGAAGCUCAAGCCUCUCGUGAUGACACAUAAGACUACUGAAACUACCUUUGCCUGUGUCUCCAGCUCUAUACUCAUCAAAAUGCUCCUCCACCCUAUACUUCAGUGUGCUUCCCUGACCUCACGUGAUUUUAUGCAUUAUACAUGUUGCUUGCUCAGCCUAAAAUGCCCUGGUUAUCACUUUCUUACACCCUGUUCUUACUUAUUGCUCAGACUAGAUCCUGUAUUUUUCAAGUCAGAGAAGUCUUUCUUAAUACUGCACUUAGAUUAGGUACUGUUACCACAUGGUCUAUCAGCACCCCAGGCUUAAUAUUACUAUUGCUAUUAUUGCUGUAUUAUGAAUCUCUGUUUGCUAUCUUUGCCAACUAGUUCUUUGGAUAAAUUAUUCAUUUCUAUUUGCAUAUACACAAUGCAAUGGCUAACAUACAGCAGAUUCUCCAUUAUGGUUGAAAAAUACACUAAGUGGAAAAAUGAAUGGUAACUUAGAUUGAUUUAGUCAUAUAUUUUAUCAACAUUUUACAUGUAAAUUCUUCUAUCAACUUCCUAAAGUAAAUCUGCAUAUAUUUUAUUUUUGUUAAUACUACAUCUUUGUGCAAAAGUACAGAUAGCCCAUGUAUCGUUUUUCUCUGUGUGGCAGACCAGGCUAAGGUACAAAGAGGAGCCUUGGCUUCCAUAUUACAACAGAGUUAAAGAUUAUAAACCUGACUUCAAAUUUUAUUUUUGUAUAUUUUUGCUAUAUAAAUAGUUUUUAAAUCCUACAGAAUACUCAAUAGUUUUUCAUAAUUAAUGUGUCAGAAACAUUCAUUAUUUGUUGCAAAUGUUACUUGUCAAAAGUUGCAUAUUUAAUAGAGUGCUACUCUUUUGAUAGCACCAAUACAUAAUUUCCUUCAUUGGAGAAAGAUUCCUAAGUUUAAUUUUCUUUUCCUCAUUGAUAGAGGUGAGACAUGUGAAGAUCUGUCAUCCAAUUAUAUCUCUUGCUUGGGAUGACCAAAAAAAAAAUGUAGAGCUUGCAAAUAUUCUCUUUACUGUUGGAAAAAUUAAUAACAAAGGAAACAUUCUCAGGAUAGCAACAAUAGCAGAAUCCUCUUAAGAGGUCUCUUUUGCCUGGAAUAUUGUAAUGACAUCUUCCUGGAAUUCCCUACUCCCCAACAAUCCAACCUAAAGAGCAGCCUGGGUGAUCCUGCUCAAAUAUGUAUUCGAUCAUGUCACUAUUUAUAGUGGACCCUGUAAGUUAAACAACAUAGAUUUAAACUGUGCAAGUCCACUUAUUCAUGGAUUUUUUUUCAAUAAGUAUACAAAAAUAUACGUGUAAAACAUCUUGUGCGAGACUUUUAUUGAGGUGGAUAGCCUAUCCUUACAUAGGCACAAGGCGAGUGAGUGACACUUAAUAUAAGAUUAAUAACGUGUUAGUUUUCUUAGUUUUCUAGCCUUGCUUUCAAAGAGUUACACUACUGUACUGUACUGUAUGCCUCUCUCUCAUCAAUGGAGAAACUAUUUAUCAGCCUAUCAUUGUAGGUUAAGUUUUUUUAAUGCAACAAUGUUUCCAAUUCUGUAUCAUAAAUACAACUGUAAUACUGUAUCCCAUAAAAAUUUUAUAAUGAUUCAUUCAUUAGUGUAUAGGCUAGGCUACCAUGAAACAAUCCUAUUGAUUAUGCUAGGCUACUAUAAAGCGAUCAUUGCUAAUUCUUUGUUAUCAGUGCAUGAACUGUCAUAUCUGUGAAUAAAUAUUAAUUUCUUUUUCA